UCUUUUUACCCAACAAAAUUGAACGAAACCCAUCUUUUAUUAUCUUCUCGCAUUUCUAAGGCAACACUGAGUCAGAGAAGGACAUAGCUCACUGCCCUGAGGGUUCUCAGUGCUCAGAGCUCAGAGCUCUGGUUGAUUGUGGAGAAAUUUAGGAGGAAAAUGAAAAUGAUAUGAUACCACAAUGCAAAUAUUGACUAAGAAGCUGGUUUGGUUUGAC